rnacentral:rRNA from 1 species
AUUAAACGCUGGCGGCAUGCCUUACACAUGCAAGUCGAACGGCAGCACGGGGGCAACCCUGGUGGCGAGUGGCGGACGGGUGAGUAAAGCAUCGGAACGUAUCCUGGAGUGGGGGGAUAACGUAGCGAAAGUUACGCUAAUACCGCAUGUUCUGUGAGCAGGAAAGCAGGGGGAUCGCAAGACCUUGCGCUCUGGGAGCGGCCGAUGUCGGAUUAGCUAGUUGGUGGGGUAAAGGCCUACCAAGGCGACGAUCCGUAGCGGGUCUGAGAGGAUGAUCCGCCACACUGGGACUGAGACACGGCCCAGACUCCUACGGGAGGCAGCAGUGGGGAAUUUUGGACAAUGGGCGCAAGCCUGAUCCAGCCAUGCCGCGUGAGUGAAGAAGGCC